GGAUCCUGCCAGGCUGAUUACAUCAACAUCGUGUCACUUAGGGAAGGAUGUGGGGGGAUACAGAGAUAGGCAGACACCUAGUGAGGUGUGGCCUGUUGCUCAGGCUGGCCCCAACUCAGGUGGGGUGAGCAAAGUCGGGUUAUGAUUGCUCAGAUUCGACUCCCCAAGAACAGUCCUCAGGUGGGAUUCUUGCGGGGGCAGGGAUCGAGUCAAACCUUGGAAAUGACGUCAUUCUGAACUCAUCUGCCUUUAUCCAGAAGACUACCAAAGCAAACCAGAGGACCAGAGAACAGCAGCUGCUCUGGACAAAGAGGGGAGGACACCCACACCCACAUACCAAGUUCUGGUUGACUUCUACAGCAGAAGAAGCAGGAGACACAAGAAGACUCAGAGGGACUGAAAUAUAAGAAGAUCGAUGCCAGAUGUUGUUGUGAUGACAACCUGUUGGGUUGAAGGACCCCAGGAAGACACAGUCCAGAUUCACAGGGACAGAGCCACUCACCUAUUGUCACAUGCAGCACAGAAUAAUGCAGAGGCAUGGCAUCAUAACAAUUCCUGAAUGGUGCUUCUCAGAAGAUGGUACUUCUUGGGGUCUGGUACCUGGACUAGUGAGGCUUCUCAGGGGAUGGGACCCCAACCCAGAAUGACAACAUCACCUGAUAACUUCAUCUUCAUCAUUAUCAUCAUCAUCAUCAUUGUUGUUAUUCCUUUUGUUUUGUUUUGAGAUUGUAAUAAAAUUAUAUCAUUUCUCCAU
rnacentral:lncRNA from 1 species